rnacentral:rRNA from 1 species
UACAGAGGUGCGAGCGUUAAUCGGAAUUACUGGGCGUAAAGCGUGCGCAGGCGGUUGUGCAAGACAGAUGUGAAAUCCCCGGGCUCAACCUGGAACUGCAUUGUGACUGCACGGCUGGAGUGCGGCAGAGGGGGAUGGAAUUCCGCGUGUAGCAGUGAAAUGCGUAGAUAUGCGGAGGAACACCGAUGGCGAAGGCAAUCCCCUGGGCCUGCACUGACGCUCAUGCACGAAAGCGUGGGAGCAAACAGG